ensembl:lncRNA
CAGCAAUGCACUGCAAGUCCUUCCUUGCAAAGCUCGUGCUUGGUGUGAGAGCUGCUCCACGCUCCAGAACACCAGCAGGAAUUUCUUGUUAUUCUCCAUGAGGCCAGGAUGUUACCCUCCUUGUCCCAGAGCUUACCAAGAAUUGUUAGAAGCUUUCUCCUUAAUGAAGAAGCUUAUUUUUAAAUGGAAAUCUUGUCAUCAUUCCUCUCCCCUGAAGACAAGGAGUGUGAGUAAGCCGGAGCUGAUCUCCUCCUUCAGAGCUGUGCCCCAGGUUGUUGGAGCACCCGUAACUCAGAUCAGCCAGAAAGUGAAAGUCAGUCUUCAUCUCAGCUUACUCUCAGAGAAAUCUGUCUUUUCCAUCACAGCCAAAGUGAAUUUGAUCUCAAAGUUGGCACAAUUCCAGCAGGGCAGUGAGGGCCCUGGGCAUUGCAGGAGGAGCUGCCCCUGCCACGUGGUUCCCAAUGUCCUCCUGCCCCAUCCUGCAACCCACCUCAUGGACCUACGCUGCCCUUCCAGCUCCCCUCUUCUUAUUGACUGAUUAGC